AUUGAACGCUGGCGGCAGGCCUAACACAUGCAAGUCGAACGAGUGGCGGACGGGUGAGUAAUGUCUUGGAAACUGCCCGAUGGAGGGGGAUAACUACUGGAAACGGUAGCUAAUACCGCAUACCAUCGGAUGUGCCCAGAUGGGAUUAGCUAGUAGGUGGGGUAAAGGCUCACCUAGGCGACGAUCCCUAGCUGGUCUGAGAGGGUGACCAGCCACACUGUGACGGAGACACGGUCCAGACUCCGACGGGAGGCAGCAGGGGGGAAUAUUGCCCAAUGGGCGCAAGCCUGAUGCAGCCAUGCCGCGUGUAUGAAGAAGGUCUUCGGGUUGUAAAGUACUUUCAGCGAGGAGGCGUUACUCGCAGAAAAAGCACCGGCUAACUCCGUGCCAGCCGCCGCGGUAAUAC
rnacentral:rRNA from 1 species